AUUGAACGCUGGCGGCAGGCCUAACACAUGCAAGUCGAGCGAGCGGCGGACGGGUGAGUAAUGUAUGGGGACUGCCCGAUAGAAGGGGAAAACUACUGGAAACGGUAGCUAAUUCCGCAUAUUAACGGAUAAACAAUAUGGGAUUAGCUAGUAGGUAAGGUAAUGGCUGACCUAGGCGACGAUCCCUAGCUGGUCUGAGAGGAUGAUCAGCCACACUGGGACUGAGACACGGCCCAGACUCCUACGGAGGCAGCAGUGGGGAAUAUUGCACAAUGGGCGAAAGCCUGAUGCAGCCAUGCCGCGUGUAUGAUGAAGGCCGUAGGGUUGUAAAGUACUUUCAGUCGGGAGGCGGUACCGACAGAAGAAGCACCGGCUAACUCCGUGCCAGCAGCCGCGGUAAUUC
rnacentral:rRNA from 1 species